AGAGUUUGAUCCUGGCUCAGGACGAACGCUGGCGGUGUGCUUCACACAUGCAAGUCGAACGGAGUAGCAAUACUCAGUGGCGGACGGGUGAGUAACACGUGGGAAUCUACCAUUAGGUGGGGAAUAACAGGCCGAAAGGACUGCUAAUGCCGCAUAUGUAGGCAUCUCGACAGAGAUGUUUAUGAAAGGAGUAAUCCGCCUCUUGAUGAGCCCGCGUCCGAUUAGCUAGUUGGUAGGGUAAAAGCCUACCAAGGCGACGAUCGGUAGGUGGUCUGAGAGGAUGAUCACCCACAAUGGGACUGAGACACGGCCCAUACUCCUACGGGAGGCAGCAGUGGGGAAUUUUACGCAAUGGGGGAAACCCUGACGUAGCGACACCGCGUGAGCGAAGAAGCCCUUUGGGGUGUAAAGCUCUGUCAACAGGAACGAAACGAAUGACGGUACCUGUGGAGGAAGCAUCGGCUAACUACGUGCCAGCAGCCGCGGUAAGACGUAGGAUGCAAGCGUUGUCCGGAUUUAUUGGGCGUAAAGAGUUCGUAGGCGGUUUGUUAAGUCUGAUGUUAAAGACCGGGGCUCAACCUCGGAAAUGCAUUGGAUACUGGCAGACUGGAGUGCAGUAGAGGCUAGUGGAAUUCCCAGUGUAGCGGUGAAAUGCGUA
rnacentral:rRNA from 1 species